GCUCAGGACUGUACUAGAUGCUGAGGAUACAGCUGUGAACAUGGCAGACUGAGUCCCUGCCUGGCAUCAGGGCUCCUGCUCCAAACUCUGUAAAAGGAGACGAGGAAUUGCCGACAAGGGAUCCAUCACGUUUGGCCAAAGUGUGCGGAGGUGGUGAAGAGAGGUGUAGGGGUCCUUCCUCAUUACACCAGGAGCCACUGGGGGUCCAACCCAGGUCCCAUCCUGUGGAAACCCCCUGGAAUCUGCAGCAUCCUGAGAUGAACCCUGACACAGCAGUAUCGUAUCCUCCUGUCCUUAAGAAUCCUGGAGAGGCUGUGCUUCUUGUGGAGAAAGAAGACUAUUGCAGGAGUCAGAAUGGGGCCUCGCUGCUCUGGGCCAUGCUCCUGCGGCUGAUAUAAAUAGCUACCAUUGGUAUUCAGGGUGGUGGGUUAUGUGAUUCUGAGAGAUGGCAUCCACCAUUUCUUUUGAUUUGAAUUUAGCAAUUAAGAUGGCUCAGUGUAUAACAAUUCAUCUGGAUGUUUUUACUUUGUCUUAGUCUGGGCUCUCCAAAAAUAAGGGCCUAAGAUAAAGGGUUUAUGUGCUAUUUCUUUAUGAGAGAUUAUGACCCCAGGUAGCAGGGUGAAGAGACAAAGAAAGUGAGGCAGCGAGAGCCACCAGGUCGAUAUGUUCCUGAGUUGGUUGCUUCUAAUUAUUUGAUCCCAUGGGACCAUCACAAGUAUCCUCCAAAAAGCCAGAUAAAUUCUGUAUCUGAAUAGUCUAUUAGAGAGAAGAAAGGAAGAAGAGUUUAUUCAUCAAUUCCUGUCUCCCAUUGGUCCCAUGGGGUGUUAACUCCCACGUACUUCCGUGUUGCACAGGCGUUGUGGGGUUUCGAGACGCCUAGACCUCUGUGUUGACAGGGAAGCACCAAGGCAAGAGGCAGGAAGGAUAGAGUGCCCGUGUGAAGUUGCUCAGAGCCUGCUGUCAUGCUGGUCUCUGCAGCAGCUGGA
rnacentral:lncRNA from 1 species